rnacentral:tRNA from 1 species
GAGCAAUUAGCUCAAAUGGUAGAGUGCUUGCUUAGCAUGCGAGAGGAAGUGGGAUCGAUGCCCACAUUCUCCA